rnacentral:lncRNA from 1 species
AUAAAUGAUAAUUUACUGUUCAUUUGUUUCAUGAUUAGAUAUAUUGAAAAGAUUUUGCUAAAAUUUGAAGAACUCUAACUUUGGGUGAGGUGUUAGUGUUCUUGUUGUCAUACCCUAAUUUUUAACCCUAAGGUCCCACAUAUCAUUGGCAUCCUUCCAUACAAACAAAGUCACCUCUUGGUCCCUUUCUCCCUCAUCUUUGGGUUUUUCUUUCUACAGGGAUCAUCAAGCACUUCUUUGUUAGUGUUUUACCU